AAGUUUGGCCGGGACCUGGAGAGUGUGUCCAGCGGUCUCAGGAAGCUGAAACGUCUGUCCCACGCCUUUGAUGAUGUCAUAGAGAGAGACGACCGCACAACGUUCAGCUACUCUCUAAUCUCAGAGUAAAUAUGCAGGCCCUGUGCAGCAGAGCGUUAUGGAGGGGUGACGAGGUGGUUGGACCCCAGCGGGAAGCUGAGCUGCUUCUCUUUCACAGAGCCAGACGUCUCACACAAACACACCUACCAGCUCUCACAGUCUCACGGCAGAAUUAGACGUUCAUCCAUGUUUCUAAAACGUCAAAUUACAAAGUGUUUAAGAUUUAAGUUUAGGCAUUAACUCACUCAUUUUUAAGGUUAGGGUUAAGUUCAGGCUGGUUUCCACGUCAUCUCCCGACGUCCUCAGACAUGGAUGGACGUUGAAUACUGACUUGUAUCACGGGUGACCUGGCUGCACACACACCUUGCCGUCCGCAAGCCACACUGAACCCCACACACCUUCCUGUUACAGUGUGUUGGUCUGAGGAAUAUGUAUCUUUCCAAAUACUACAUGUACAGUUACGGCCAAAUAUAUUGCCACCCUUGUAACUUCUCUUAAAUAAUUCCCUAUUUCUUCUCUAAGUUGACAUUUGAAAGUUGGUCUCCACACCUUGUUAUUGGAUUGUCAACAUUGCAGAACAUAUUUUAUUUUUGCUAGAACUUGCUUGCACAGCUUUUUGGCCAAGAUAACUGCCAACAAAUGAUUAUUUUUCUUCCACCAACGAGCUUGCUGCAUUAUUCUACUGGCAAUUUCUCUCACUCUUCAGCAGAAAACCCGUUCUAAUUAUUCAACUGCUGUUUUGAGCUCUCUCUAUAGGGUUAUGAAUGUUAUUCAGAUUUGGACUCUUCACUGGCCGCUCCAGAACAGUGCAGCGUUUCUUCUUGAACCAUUACAGGGUGCUUUUAUGUGUUUGGGGUUGUUGUCCUGCUAGAAGACCCACAACCUUCAACAGAGACACAGUUUUUUGGACACUUGCAAUCACUUGCAAUUGUCUGAUCCACAAUCAAAUAUGGGGGAGGUUUGAUGAUGCUGUUGGGUUGCUUUGCUGCCUCUGGAGGCCUUGAACACAUGCAAGACAUUAUGAAAUCAGCAGAUUCAGGGCUUUUGGAGUCCAAUGUUCAACCCAGUGUCCAAAAACUGGGUCUCCAUUAAAGGUUGUGGGUAUUCCAGCAGGACAACUACCCCAAAUACAUAUAUAUUUUUUUCACCCUGGUGUGGUUAAGAAGAGAUGCUGGACUGUUCUGGAGUGGCCAGCGAAAAGUCCCCAAAUUGUCAGUAGAAAGGUGCAGCAAGCAUCAUUUUGCUACAAGAAGUGUUUGUCUGCAGUUAUCUUGGUCAAAAGGCUGUGCAACCAAGUACCAGCUCUGGGGUGCCAAUAAUGUUGUCCAUGCCAUUUGUUACCAGCUCUGGGGUGCCAAUAAUUUUGUCCAUGCCAUUUGUCUCUAUUUUCUACAUUACAAUUGUAAACUUAAGUUUACAAAAAUAAAAUUGAUUCUGCAAUGUUGAAGAUCCAAUAAGGUGUGGUGACCAAAAGUUUCUCAAUUUCAACUUAUUUGAGAAAUAGGGGACUAAGAAAAGUGCAAGGGUGCCAACAUAUUGGUCCGGAACUGUACAUACUGGGACGGUUUCUAUACACUAUGUUCAUGUCUAUGUAUUCGGUUCACCUUAUGGUGCCCUGACCACUUGACCCAGUUCCUGAUCCAACAGGAUUGUUUUCCUUUUUCCGGCCCAUUCACAAACAAGCAAAACAUUGUUAAAUAUAAAUUACAUUUGUCAAAAUUAUUCAAAAUAAUACUAAUAAUAAAGGGCCUGAAGGAGGAGAACCAUCCUUGUUGACAGGCAUUACUUUAACAGAAUGGGAUCGUUUCUAUGUUUUAUAGAUUAUAUAACGGAACAGAAUCGGACAGUUUUCUAUGUUCAUAGAUUCUAUAAUGUAACAGGUUUGUUUUUGUACGCGAUGGGGUGUUGAUAAGGUAAAGCCAGGGGGGAAAGUAGAUGUCAUUUCUUACCGGUAGGGGGCAGCCAAGUUCACACGCAUAAUUUUUUUCUACUACAGAAACUACAGGUUAGCCUACUCUGCUGACAAACAGAUCAACAAAACCCGAUGUUGUCUGAUCCAUAUAAUUGGCCUAAGAAAACGGGAGACACAAGAUUGUCCAAAGACAAACCAAAGUGGCACUGACCCAAUGAUAAAGACAGUGAAUGUGCACACGCCGGGGCCGAUGUUCUCCACUGGUGCCAAUAAGCUAGGCUACUGUUCGAUCAAUUAAGUUAAGAAUUUUGAUAGCUAAAAGACCGAUUGGAGUCUUUUCAUUGUAAUAGCCGUUUGCUUUCCAAAGUUUUUUUUUCCGGUAUUGGUAUUUUUAAAUAUUGCGAUAUGCCUGGCUGGGUCUCUGCUUACCGGACCAGACCGCCUUAUUGUCACCCCUGGGUAAAGCUGACAUUCAGAGUCUAGGGCCACUGUUAUUCUAAUGAUAGGAAUCAAUGUUGCAUAUUCCUGAUAACUACAUAUCAAGAUCUGGGAGUCUCAUUUACAUUUUAGUCAUUUAGCAGACGCUCUUAUCCAGAGCGACUUACAGUUAGUGAAUGCAUACAUGUUUUU